rnacentral:lncRNA from 1 species
GCGUCCCUGCAUUAGCAGUAUUCUGUAGAGGCAAUGUUUUGACCGGACGGGCUCCUAACAGUGUCACGACUGUGGGUAAAGCGUUGUCUGCGAAUGUGACCAAUCGUAAAGAACUCACCGCUUUGGAGCACAGAUCUUGGUUUCGCUGAUCUCAUUUCACCGACUGAACCACACCCGGAGCAAGGGGAGCGUCCUCGCCGAUAGCUGCUUGCAGAUAUAGCAACGUUGAUUUGGUACAAAAAGAAGAAGUACAGGAGAAAAGCAAGGCAACGGUCUCACUCAUUAUCGGCAGUUACUAUUUGAACAAGUUCUAUUUUGUACACGCGGGUGUCUGGGAUCGGCCUUCCCCUUACUUGAUUUGGGUGGUCCCACGCCACGAUCUUCGCGUCAACAUGACGACAGCAGCAGGAGCGACGGCCGCAGCGACAUAUCGACAGAUAGUCGACAAAAACGACGAUUGAAAUUGCUGGCUUACCGAUGAAGCAAAGACAACCGUGCUUCAUAAUGCCAACGACAGGAAACCGGCAAUCAGGAACGACGAAGGCUUUCGAAGUGCUCUAUUGAUGGACGUCGAAGGAACUUAGAAUGUGUACAAAUAAUACCGAAAGUCACAAAGUAAACGCAUAUGCUUUGAAACGUAUCGAAAUUGAAAUAUUCAAAUAAAAAUGCU